AGAAUGCCAUUUGUUUGCGAACAGUGUGGCAGAGAGGUCAAAACACGGUCGGGGAUCUCCUAACACAAAGCCUCCCACGCACGGACAGGAAAAUAGGAGAUUAAAGUAUUUUUGGAAGCACCUUCAAGAGACGUACUGAUAUCUUGAUCAAUGAAAAGUUGUCAUAUACAAACAUGUAUAGUAAAUGUUCCAAAGUUUAAAUAACUGUUUGUUUUAUUACCAGAUGGUGCACGUAUUGCAGGGAAAGAAAACAAUCAAAGUAAACAUUACAUAAAAAUUUGACAUUUCAACAAAUUGAACAACAUUAUAUGAUUUAAUGUUAAUUACUUGGUGCAGUGGUAACAAGAUCUUGCAGCGCCCUUUCAUGACCGGGGCGAAUGAGUAUUUUCAUUAAACAUCUCAAACUAU